rnacentral:rRNA from 1 species
UGGGGGAUAUUGCACAAUGGGCGAAAGCCUGAUGCAGCGACGCCGCGUGGGGGAUGAAGGCUUUCGGGUUGUAAACCUCUUUCGCUAUCGAACAAGGCCCGCUUAGGGUGGGUUGAGGGUAGGUGGAGAAGAAGCGCCGGCUAACUACGUGCCAGCAGCCGCGGUAAUACGUAGGGCGCGAGCGUUGUCCGGAAUUAUUGGACGUAAAGGGCUUGUAGGCGGCUUGUUGCGCCUGCUGUGAAAACGCGGGGCUUAACUUCGCGCGUACAGGGGGUGCGAGCAGGCUGGAGUGUGGUAGGGGUGGCUGGAGGUCCAGGUGUAGCGGUGGAAUGCGCAGAUAUCUGGAGGAACAACGAUGAGGAGGGCAGGUGACUGGGCCAUUACUGACGCUGAGGAGCGAAAGCAUGGGUAGCGAAGAGG